CAGAACAUAUACCUCUGUUAGUGGAGCAGCCCCAACCCUAGCCCUUCUUCGGCCAUGGCGACCUAGCAAGCAGGAGGUUGCCAACACAAUUGGCAAGAGCUACAAAAUAUGAAAUUCCUCCCUGAACAAAGCUUGAGGAACCUGAAGUCUGCAGUCCUUCAGUCACAAGGCAUCCGAUGCUUGGUUCCAGAUGAUUGCAACAAGUUGCUUGCUCUUGUUAGAGCUGAAAAAAGAAAAGUCCGCGGCACUUUCACGUUGAUCCUUCGUCUUCGAUCUAUGCCGCCGGGCAUGACGCACCCUCCGUCAGAGUUCACGCCGGCCACGACGCUUCAUCUACAUCCGCAGGCUUUUAAUCGCCCUCUGGAGCAAGCAUCACCAGCAACCCUCGUAAUGGACGGCCUCCCACUCCUUUGUGCCUUUUACUAUUGUACAGUUACAUUCCGUGGGAAUUGUGCCGUGUGUGUGUGGGCAGUUUAGGGAGUUUGCUGCAAAUGUUGCUCGGUUAGGAAACCUGUGCAGUGAUCCCAAAUGGCACAACUUGAAUCAGCAUUUCUCGAGGUUGAAGUGUGAACCCACUUUGGUGGAUGGAUGGAUGGAGGGAGGUUAACCACACAUCAGAAAUACUCUAAAGAAGCAGCAGCAUCCAGUAUGUACUAUGUAGUAUCUCAGUUCGUUUGUGGUGGAUGGAUGGAGGGAGGGAGGUGAAGUGAGAUGGACUGGGCAGUCUACUGCGUUUGGUUUGUUUAGGUGGAAAGAUUCUUGACCACUGACUCACAGCUGAUGCUGAUUUCUGAUCAUCUAGCAAGGAGGUCUCUAUGGCAAGUCCAAGAUGGUGUCGAAGAAAAAAUCUAUUGUGAUGUCCUUUGUUGCAUGCUAUACUCGAAUCUUGUGUGCCCAAAGAGCCUCAUAAUUGAUAAGAGCAUUCACACAGCAUGUCUGGGAAAUCAGAUCAGCACAACAUUUCAUUUAUAUACAAAAUCAACAUUUUAUUGGUUCUUCGUAUGAGUGACCAUCCUAUGUGAAUUCAGAUCCAAGUUGGCAUGAUGAAAUAUGGAUGGACAACAUCAAUAGGUCCAGUUCCUUGAGUUUGUGGUUAAUGGAGAAAGGCUUUCUAUCAUUGCUUAAGUGAACUCUCAGAUCUUUCAACAUGGUAUUGUUGAUCUGCGGGGGCUAUCAUUCUUCACUAUGCAACAUUGGCACUUUCUAGGCUGAAGUAUCUUAUCAAGCCCAUUGUUUGCAGCAUAACGGCCUAUGAUCAGGCUUGUACACAGUUAAUUGUCUCAUGUGUGCAAUGCAAGCAGAGCAGGUUUAAAUAAAUCCUAAUAGGGUUGUCUGUGCUAGAUGGUACUAACUACAUGUAUCAGGUUGAUAUAUAUUUCCUUCUUUGUCAAUGAGCAAAUCAUAAUAUGACUUAUUGACGUGUCAAGGCUUCUGUUGCAUUCUUAGGGAAGAUUGUGGUCAGUGAAAUUGCAUUGACUUUGAUUUUGAGUGCCGUUC